rnacentral:rRNA from 1 species
UACGAAGGGGGCUAGCGUUGCUCGGAAUGACUGGGCGUAAAGGGCGCGUAGGCGGUUUGUCCAGUCGGGCGUGAAAUUCCUGGGCUCAACCUGGGGGCUGCGUGCGAUACGUGCAGACUAGAGUGGGGAAGAGGGUCGUGGAAUUCCCAGUGUAGAGGUGAAAUUCGUAGAUAUUGGGAAGAACACCGGUGGCGAAGGCGGCGACCUGGUCCUUUACUGGCGCUGAGGCGCGAAAGCGUGGGGAGCAAACAGG